rnacentral:rRNA from 1 species
UACGGAGGGUGCAAGCGUUAUCCGGAUUCACUGGGUUUAAAGGGUGCGUAGGCGGACAGGUAAGUCAGUGGUGAAAUCUCUGGGCUUAACUCAGAAACUGCCGUUGAUACUAUUUGUCUUGAAUGUCAUGGAGGUAAGCGGAAUAUGUCAUGUAGCGGUGAAAUGCUUAGAUAUGACAUAGAACACCGAUAGCGAAGGCAGCUUACUACAUGAAGAUUGACGCUGAGGCACGAAAGCGUGGGGGAGCAAACAGG